AUCAAAUUAUUUGGCUGUUCAAUAAAUUAAAUUGACAUCAUAUUAUCACACAGCUCAUACGGGAACUCAAGUACAAUGUGUUUGGAGGAUGGUCAGAAGGUGUGUUAAACUUUCCACCAACUUAUAAGUAUGAGGUUAAUUCAGAUAAGUAUUAUGGAGAGGAUCCCAAGGUUGGAAAGUGCUCACCAGCAUGGUUUAUCGCUUAAGACCCAAGAGCUCACAACUUUAUUCCUAGCAGCAAGAUUAAGUUGUAGCACCUUGACAGAGGCCAACAUACACACCGUGUUAAAUCUGAUCUCUCUUUUUUCGCAACAUUAUUCCUUAUAUGGAUCUUGACAACCUGUGUUUGUACUUUGUGGUAAAUAUAGUUAACUGUUGACUCUCGUGUUAAUUUAGAACAUACUUUGAAGUUUGCUUUGUUUGCAUUCAAUGAAUAUAUUGUAUGUCCAAUUUGAGUAGGCUACAUUGACUACUAUGAUUCAACGAAUCAAAGUUUCCUUUGUAUGUUUUCUUCCCA